rnacentral:tRNA from 1 species
GUCACCAUAGUUCAAUGGAUAGAAUGAAGGUUUCCGGAACCUUUGAUCUGGGUUCGAAUCCCAGUGGUGACACCA